ACGAGGAGCCCAGAUUCUCGAUAUUGCUUAUGAGUCAGAGGACGAGGUAGACCACAGCAUCGAGGACCACCUGCGCGCUGUGUUCCGAGAGGCAGCUGGUGAGGCCAACGAUGUGGAUGCUGUGAAGUUGCAGGCCAUGCUGGAACAGCUCUUCCCUUCUGCAGGUUUUGCGGACUCGCUCGACUUCACCCGGAGUUUCCUGGCCAUGAUGGACCUUGACUUCUCAGGAACAGUCAACUUCUAUGAGUUUGAAGCCCUUUUCUCGUCUCUCAGCCGCUGG